rnacentral:tRNA from 1 species
GGAGCUACGGCUCAGUUGGUAGAGUGCUUGGCUGAUAUGUAAAAGUCAAGGGUUCAAUUCCCAGUGUUUCG